UAACGAAUCUUCCGCAAUGGGCGAAAGCGUGACGGGGCAAUGCCGCGUGCAGGAUGAAGCCCUUCGGGUUGUAAACUGCUUUUAGGGGGGAGGAAUGAAAUGCCCAUCCCCAAAGGACACCACCGCCAACUCCCGGCCCGCCGCCCCGGGAAAACCGAGGGUGCGAGCCUUCAUCCGAACCACUUGGUUUAAAGGCGUCGGAGGCGGGUGGUUCGGCGCUUUGGUAAAUGCCACGG
rnacentral:rRNA from 1 species